UGCAUGCAAGUCGAACGCAUCAGUAAUUAGUGGAAAGCCUCUUGAGGCGGGGAAGGGGAGAAAUCUCUGGAGCCGUGGAUGGGGGUCGGAAGCUUGACGCUGGUGAGUGGCGGAUGGGUGAGUAACACGUCGGUGACCUGCCCCAAAGUGGGGAAUAACCGCCCGAAAGGGCAGCUAAUUCCGCAUGUGGUCUAUCGUUCACUCGAUAGAUUAAAGGCGCAAGCCGCUUUGGGAGGGGCUCGCGGCCGAUUAGCUAGUUGGUAGGGUAAUGGCUUACCAAGGCGAUGAUCGGUAGCUGGUCUGAGAGGAUGAUCGGCCACACUGGCACUGACACACGGGCCAGACUCCUACGGGAGGCAGCAGCAAGGAAUAUUGCACAAUGGGCGAAAGCCUGAUGCAGCAACGCCGCGUGGGCGAUGAAGGCCUUCGGGUUGUAAAGUCCCUUUUCUGCGGGAAGAGCAAGGACGGUACCGCAGGAAUAAGUCUCGGCUAACUACGUG
rnacentral:rRNA from 1 species